rnacentral:rRNA from 1 species
UACGGAGGGGGCUAGCGUUGUUCGGAAUUACUGGGCGUAAAGCGCACGUAGGCGGCUUUGUAAGUUAGAGGUGAAAGCCCAGGGCUUAACCCUGGAAUUGCCUUUAAGACUGCAUCGCUAGAAUCGUGGAGAGGUGAGUGGAAUUCCGAGUGUAGAGGUGAAAUUCGUAGAUAUUCGGAAGAACACUAGUGGCGAAGGCGACUCACUGGACACGUAUUGACGCUGAGGUGCGAAAGCGUGGGGAGCAAACAGG